rnacentral:rRNA from 1 species
CUGGGCGUAAGGGCACGUAGGCGGUGAAUCGGGUUGAAAGUGAAAGUCGCCAAAAACUGGCGGAAUGCUCUCGAAACCAAUUCACUUGAGUGAGACAGAGGAGAGUGGAAUUUCGUGUGUAGGGGUGAAAUCCGUAAAUNUACGAAGGAACGCCAAAAGCGAAGGCAGCUCUCUGGGUCCCUACCGACGCUGGGGUGCGAAAGCAUGGGGAGCGAACAGGAUUAGAUACCCUGGUAGUCCACCA